ACGCUCGACACCUACGGGAGGCAGCAGUGAGGAAUAUUGGUCAAUGGGCGCUAGCCUGAACCAGCCAAGUAGCGUGAAGGAUGAAGGCUCUAUGGGUCGUAAACUUCUUUUAUAUAAGAAUAAAGUGCAGUAUGUAUACUGUUUUGUAUGUAUUAUAUGAAUAAGGAUCGGCUAACUCCGUGCCAACAGCCGGCGGUAAUCUGAGCGGCUGGCAAGGC
rnacentral:rRNA from 1 species